CUUAUGCGUUGUUGGGUAGGGGAGCGUUCUGUAAGCCUGCGAAGGUGGCCUGUGAGGGUUGCUGGAGGUAUCAGAAGUGCGAAUGCUGACAUAAGUAACGAUAAAGCGGGUGAAAAGCCCGCUCGCCGGAAGACCAAGGGUUCCUGUCCAACGUUAAUCGGGGCAGGGUGAGUCGACCCCUAAGGCGAGGCCGAAAGGCGUAGUCGAUGGGAAACGGGUUAAUAUUCCCGUACUUGGUGUUACUGCGAAGGGGGGACGGAGAAGGCUAUGUUGGCCGGGCGACGGUUGUCCCGGUUUAAGCGUGUAGGUGUGUGUUCCAGGUAAAUCCGGUUCACUUUAACACUGAGGCGUGACGACGAGGCACUACGGUGCUGAAGCAACAAAUGCCCUGCUUCCAGGAAAAGCCUCUAAGCAUCAGGUAACAUCAAAUCGUACCCCAAACCGACACAGGUGGUCAGGUAGAGAAUACCAAGGCGCUUGAGAGAACUCGGGUGAAGGAACUAGGCAAAAUGGUGCCGUAACUUCGGGAGAAGGCACGCUGACACGUAGGUGAAGUGAUUUACUCAUGGAGCUGAAGUCAGUCGAAGAUACCAGCUGGCUGCAACUGUUUAUUAAAAACACAGCACUGUGCAAACACGAAAGUGGACGUAUACGGUGUGACGCCUGCCCGGUGCCGGAAGGUUAAUUGAUGGGGUCAGCGCAAGCGAAGCUCCUGAUCGAAGCCCCGGUAAACGGCGGCCGUAACUAUAACGGUCCUAAGGUAGCGAAAUUCCUUGUCGGGUAAGUUCCGACCUGCACGAAUGGCGUAAUGAUGGCCAGGCUGUCUCCACCCGAGACUCAGUGAAAUUGAACUCGCUGUGAAGAUGCAGUGUACCCGCGGCAAGACGGAAAGACCCCGUGAACCUUUACUAUAGCUUGACACUGAACAUUGAGCCUUGAUGUGUAGGAUAGGUGGGAGGCUUUGAAGUGUGGACGCCAGUCUGCAUGGAGCCGACCUUGAAAUACCACCCUUUAAUGUUUGAUGUUCUAACGUGGACCCGUUACCCGGGUUGCGGACAGUGUCUGGUGGGUAGUUUGACUGGGGCGGUCUCCUCCUAAAGAGUAACGGAGGAGCACGAAGGUUGGCUAAUCCUGGUCGGACAUCAGGAGGUUAGUGCAAUGGCAUAAGCCAGCUUGACUGCGAGCGUGACGGCGCGAGCAGGUGCGAAAGCAGGUCAUAGUGAUCCGGUGGUUCUGAAUGGAAGGGCCAUCGCUCAACGGAUAAAAGGUACUCCGGGGAUAACAGGCUGAUACCGCCCAAGAGUUCAUAUCGACGGCGGUGUUUGGCACCUCGAUGUCGGCUCAUCACAUCCUGGGGCUGAAGUAGGUCCCAAGGGUAUGGCUGUUCGCCAUUUAAAGUGGUACGCGAGCUGGGUUUAGAACGUCGUGAGACAGUUCGGUCCCUAUCUGCCGUGGGCGCUGGAGAACUGAGGGGGGCUGCUCCUAGUACGAGAGGACCGGAGUGGACGCAUCACUGGUGUUCGGGUUGUCAUGCCAAUGGCACUGCCCGGUAGCUAAAUGCGGAAGAGAUAAGUGCUGAAAGCAUCUAAGCACGAAACUUGCCCCGAGAUGAGUUCUCCCUGAGACUUAAAGUCUCCUGAAGGAACGUUGAAGACGACGACGUUGAUAGGCCGGGUGUGUAAGCGCAGCGAUGCGUUGAGCUAACCGGUACUAAUGAACCGUGAGGCUUAACCUUACAACGCCGAAG
rnacentral:rRNA from 1 species